rnacentral:rRNA from 1 species
AACGAACGCUGGCGGCAGGCCUAACACAUGCAAGUCGAGCGAGGUAGCAAUACCUAGCGGCGGACGGGUGAGUAACGCGUGGGAACGUACCCUUUGCUACGGAAUAGCCCCCGGGAAACUGGGAGUAAUACCGUAUGUGCCCUUCGGGGAAAGAUUUAUCGGCAAAGGAUCGGCCCGCGUUGGAUUAGGUAGUUGGUGGGGUAAUGGCCUACCAAGCCGACGAUCCAUAGCUGGUUUGAGAGGAUGAUCAGCCACACUGGGACUGAGACACGGCCCAGACUCCUACGGGAGGCAGCAGUGGGGGAAAUCUUAGACAAUGGGCGCAAAGCCUGAUCUAGCCAUGCCGCGUGAGU